GUGAGUCCCACAUUGUUGUUGGGGACAUUGGCAGUCAGGGAUAUAGGAGGCCCAUAUCCCGGGCAGAGGGCCUGCUGGGGCCCCUUGCUGGGAGAAGGGAAGACGCCCGAGACUUCAUUCAUGAACUGUUGUGCAGGGGAUAAACUCUUCCUACUGACUUCCUAUUGAACCCCCGUUUCACUUCCCAUGUCUGUGUAGAGAAAGCUCACCACGGAGGAAUGUGCUGUCUUCCUUUGCCUUCUGCUCUGGCACCAGCUCUCCACCCUCUCCUCUAUCUCAGGAACACCUGGCCUCAGAGCUCAGAGGAGGAGCAUUCCUGGCCUCCCAACAAAUUGCUUAUAGUUCUCUGCAGACCCCACACUGUCCUACCUUUGUGCCUUUCCUCUUCCUGGAAGGUCCUCCACACCUCACAGCCCCCCUCUACUGGCUGGCUCCUACUCACCGGGUCUUGCUCUGUUGCCCAGGCUUUAGUGCAGUGGUGUGAUCACAGCUCACUGCAGCCUUGAUCCCCAGGGCUCAAGCAAUCCUCCCACCUCAGCCUCUUCAGUAGCUGGAGCUACAGCGUCUCGCUCUGUCACCCAGGCCGGAGUGCAGUGGUGUGAUCAUAGCUCACUGUAACCUCAAACUCUUGGGGCUCAAGUGAUAUUCCUGCCUCAGCCUCCUAAGUAGCUGGAACUACAGAUAUACUCACUAAUGUAUGCUCAGACACAAGACCAGCAUGUCCCAAGCAAUCUACGAUGAGAUCUUCAAAAGAAGAUCUUCGGAGCCCUCGCCAGAAUCACACUUAAUGAAGAGUCACAGGGAGAAGACGUCCAUACACGCAUGACGAGACAGGCCUGGAACAGAGCCUUCCUGCACAGCCUGAGAAGGGACCCACCCUGCUGACACCUUGAUCUUGUACCCAUGGCCUCCAGUACUGCGAGAUGGUAACAUUCUGUUGUUGAAGGUGCCCAGUCUGUGGUACUGUAAAACAGCCCUAGGAAACUAACACAGCCUGUUAGCCCACAGAUGGUGGAGAGAUGGAAUGCUCAGUGGAGCUCCAGGCUUACUGUCUACAGCUCCCAAAGUGCGCUACCGCACCCUUGGGUGGGUGAGGUAUGCAAGGUAAUUUUGGGUGGUGCAGGGUGAAUAAUUUCAAUUGACAUAAUAAUGUGUUUAUCUUACUGGGUAAAUCAGGGGUCCCCACCUGUUAGGAACCAGGCUACACAGCAGGAGGUGAGCAGCCAGCCAGUGAGCAAAGCUUCAUCUGUAGAAACAGCUGCUCCCCAUCCCUCGCAUUACCGCAUGAGCUCUGCCACCUGUCAGAGGAGUGGUGCCGUUAUGUUCUCAUAGAACCCAACUGUGAACUGCGCAUGCCAGGGAUCUAGAUUGCGUGCUCCUUAUGAGAACCUAAUGCCUGAUGAUCUGUGACUGUCUCCCAUCACCUCCUGAUGGGACCAUGUAGUUGCAGGAAAACAAGCUUAGGGCUCCCACUGAUUCUAUAUUAUGGUGAGUUGUGUAAUUAUUUCAUUAUAUAUUACAGUGAAAUAAUAAUAGAAAUAAAGCACACAAUAAAUGUAA